CUUCGCCUCGCGUAAAAUAAAUACGAGCGAGAAUAAAGCGAAAGAUACAGAACCUCUGGCAACCAGUGUACAGGUAUGCAGAUGUUUGUCCUGAAUGUCUAUAUGCCUAUAUAUUUAUUAUUGACACGCGGUGCUCAUAAAAUGUUUCGCCAAUUCUUCAAGUCUGUUUAUUACAAUAAACAACAAGAUAAAUGUCAUUGAGUAAAAUGACUUAUCGCGAAGUAACAAAGACAACAAUUAUUCCAAUUAAUGAAACAUUUGCUGCGUUUCUGGUUUUACGUUAUUUCUUGACGGCAGACUAAAGUCACGGUAAGUGUCAUUAAAUUAAACGCGCGCCGAAAUAUUUAUAUUUGUCAAUUGCUGUAUAUAGCUGUUAUGGUAUAUGUAGCGUAUAAGGGGCGGUCACGGAUUCUACUAAAACUCACGGUUAGCUCACACUCACAGCUUGUUAAUAUUCACGGAUUCUCACGGAUUUUGCAAAUAUUAACAACUGGUUCUUAAAUAUGUUGGCUUUGUCGCACAUUUUAACUAUUAAGAGUGACUUCAUUAAGUUUAUUUGCGUCAAAUUACAUAAAACUUUUUUCUUCUGAAAUACAUAAUCAAAACAUCGCUACAUGCAACCUCGUGGGUAUUCAACAAUAUGGUUUUGUUUAAUAUAAAUAAAAGCUACCAAAACCUGUGUAUAAGGUGCACAAGACUCUGAAAAUGCCAUUUCCAACGAUCUAGACACUAUAUAUUUUCAAAAAAAUUUCGCUCGGCGCCAACCAUGGUGGCGCCUCGUGGCGUGUGGGUCCCCCCCAAAAAAUCUCACGCAUGUUUUUCGCCAGAGUUGGCAACUAUGGGAUAAUGCAUACAGCAUGUACUGAUCCAACCCUACUAAGCACAAAACAUGAGUAAGUAGUUGACAUCAUUGAAAAUGAGGCCAUUGGAUAAAACAGAUUCUUUCGCUUCAAGUGGCACGUGGUCGUCGGUAAAACUUAGAUGUUACACCCCUACCCCCCCAGUUAAAAAGGUCACGCUACGCCCCUGUUGAUGGAGGACUACAGAUAAAAACGUCACUUUUACUAAAAUCUAUUGGAAUGCUGGAUUUGCCGUUGGUAAACACAACGUUGUUAAUAACAACGGGUUGAGAAAUAUCUGGUGAGAAAUUAUAAGCACCCAUAGAAUGAUUAUGGUUAACUUCAUUGGAGGAGGCGAUUUGGGAAAUGCAAUCUAGAGGAAUGCUGAUAGCACUGCUACUAGGAAGGUUAACCUCAUUAAUGACAACAGCAUCAAUGCUUUCUUUGAAGCCGAUUGUAUUAUUCGAUAGAUCCUCAGAGAGUACUUUGACUUCUAAUUCAGUCAACCGUGACUUCAAAUUCAAAUUUUCAUCAGAUAAUUUGCAUAUAUCCUGUUUACUUAAUUUGAGUCUGUUCUGAAAGUUCUUAUGAUUUGAGUCUGUUCUGAAAGUUUAUUUAUCAAGACUGCAAUAUCUGACUCAAUCUUAUCCUUGAACAUGCGAAAUUGUUUCUCUGUAAUUCCCAACUUAGCCUCAUCUUGCGGCCGAACUGGAGUAGAGCUAGCCUGUGUUCCAGUCCACUACAGUAGUGGACUGGAACACAGGCUAGGGUAGAGCUGUCAAUAGUUUGGGCAAAGAAUAUAUUGGUAUUAUUAUUUCGCAUCAGAAUAUUCGCAUUUUGAAAAGAUCGGUCAAUAAAAUUCUCUAGCUCAUCAAGGGUUGAACAAUCCGCCGUUAGUACCUCAUCUAUAGCUUUAUCACUAUAACCACCAGUAGAUACUUUACUAGCCUCAAGCAUGGUCAGAUCUUGUACUAUUUGACUAACACUGACCGAUUGUUGUUUGUGUUUGACUGAUGUUUCAGCCAACGCAUGAGAUAAACAGCCCUCGUCAGUAUCAGUUCGCUUGACACAUUUUGUGAUCAAAAUACUCAACAAAAAUGUCUUAAAAGAUUCGCCAUCCCUUCCGUUAAAUGUAAGCGAAUUUAACUUGCCAGGAUACCAGGUCAUAAUAAAAUUUGAAUUUGAGUUGGUGAACUGUUUAGAUUUACCUCCGCUUGACCUCCAUGUACCAGUCAGCCCGGUCACAUUUUCAGCAAAAUUCUGCAACGAACGAAAGUCUCGAGACCAUAUAACUCAUUUCCCAUCAUAAACAAAGUCAGCUUGAUCCUUUAACAAGUUGAUCGAAUUUAUAUAUCAAUGUUCUCGAACGACAAUUUUUUAUAUUUUGGUGAGUUCAACAAAUCGUGACCGUCCGCCAUAUUUAUUCAAUGCGUACAAAGUCCAUACAAAGUUCACGCCCAUAUGAAAACACGCCUACUCCAUACAUAGCCUCAGUUUUAGCCCUCGCCUUCCCCCACCGAUCAAUGUUGAUAACGAAAUUAAGUUGGGCAUCAACAUCCAGUGGCGCCGUGGGUGCCAUGUUUGUUUGGUUUUUUUUGGGGGGGGGCGGUAAAGGCAGUACUUUUCCGACAAACCGAAAAUUUUUUCUGAUAAACCAAAAAUUUUCAACAUGAGCCCACCUUUGAAUUUACUAUAUGAGUAAAUACUUAAACACGUCCGAAUUUAUCAUUAUGAUAAAUUCGCGGCACAUUUUGAAUUUAUGAAUGGAGUUAAUCAUAAAACCACAAGCAUUAGACAUGACUUUUAGUUAUAAAUGCAAUGUCAUUAAAAUGGAGGCUGGUCGCGCAGGGUUGGGGAGGUUUUCAAGACUUUUUAAAGAAAAGUUUAAAAAAGUUUUAAAGAAGUUUAAAAAAGAAAAAAAAAGUUUAAAAAGUUAAAUUUUCAAAAAAGUUUAAAAAGUUAAAAAGUUAGGGUUAGGGGUUAGUGUUACGGGUUAGAUUCCGCGAAUUUAUCAUUAUGAUAAUUUCAAAAUGUGCCGCGAAUUUAUAAUUAUGAUAAAUUCGGACGUGUUUAAGAAUUUACUCAUGUAGUAAAUUCAAAUGUGGAGCUCAUGCUGAAAAAUUUUCCGGACGACGACAUUUUAAAUCCCCCCCCCCCCCCAUCGACAACAUUGACAAUUUUCCGACGGGUCUCAACCAUAGGGGAAAAACUUUUUCUGACAAACAAAAAUUUUUUCCGGACGACAACAUUUAAAAACUCCCCCCGUCUACAACUUUGACAAUUUCCGACAACAUUGACAAUUUUCGACGGGUCUCAACAAUAGGGGGAGGGCAUUCCCCCCCUCUCCCCCGCCAUGGCACCAUUGCUAACAUCGUUCCACGAUACACAACAUUGAAUGGUGGGGGGGGGGGGAGGGUGCAGGGCGUAAAACUUCCGUUAACAAAACUACAUCGCCAACUAUUCGUUUGAUGCAUCAUUGUUCCAAUGAAUUGGUCUGUGAUUGUAGAUAAAUCCCAGAAUAUUAAUUACACUAAACCGACAAAAUAUACACUAUCUUUCAUAACAUAUAUAUAUUACGGUAUUACGAGAGCAUUUACAAAUUCACCACACCAAAAGCAUUUCUAUCUACUAAAAAUAGCGUGUCUACUGCUGUAAAAGGGUUAUUGGGCUUGGGGAAGGGGAGGUAUGGAAUGGUAUGGUGUUGGACACUGGAUUGUAAAAGAAAGCCUCGGUCUUUAUGUAUUUCCUUUACUAGUCAAAAAUAAUGAUUUGAACUAUUUUUUUCUUUUUUAUCCUAGAUGCAGCCACAGCACGGAACCUGGAGUUAAUAUUGAAUGCUCGGAAUUUUGGAAGUGAUUACUGUCUGUAUGGUGUGAUAAACCAUACUAAAACUGCCGCAGGAGGUAAAGUUGUUGUUUCACUGUAUAGUAUUACCAAAAUUUAUUUAUUUAUUUUAUUUAUUUAGCUUUGCCAACUAGGGCAGUGUCACCACAACAGCAUAUGUUUCAUGCCAAAAUCAUAAAACUUGGGAGUUCAAUGAAGACCAAGGGGGAUUCGUGAUGAUAUGAAAACCCGUCAAUAAUGACAUUCGUCAUCCAUUCAGGCAUCACCAAAAGUCGGAAGAUGAUGUUAUUUGUUAUUUUCUACUUGGCGCUAAUCUUCCAUGCAUUGUCUUAUUGAGCGAUUCCCUUUCACCUACAGUAUAUAUAUCAGCAAUCACCGACGGGAAUAAUAAAGCUUGCAAAUAGAUAUUAAACAUCCUGCGUGCUAAAUAUCAGUUGUUCUUUUAUUAUACAAAUAAACUAAAUAUCCAAAAAUAGGUACGCAGUGCGUACAGGUUGCAUGCCCUCUCUCCUCCGCAGAGGCUUUAGAUGCCUUUCCUUUCCUUCGUCAUUUUCCGCCAGCGCUCCGUCGCCCAGUGGCUUCGCCCGUGUUCCGAGUUCCGCCAUGUAAUCAGAAAAGUAUAGUGAAAUGUAUCUCAUCGUGAUAAAUCAUAAGACAACUAAAGCACAGAAUAGAUACUGGACUAAAGCCACUGCGGAGGAGAGAGUUGCAUUCAGGCCGAUUUUCAUUCAGUGCAAAAUAUCGCGAGAUCAACUUUUUGCGAUCACUUUCUUUUGAAACGCGUUCGGUCAACCUGAUCAGUUGCGUUUGAUUGCUUGUAUUUCAAAAGAAAGUGAUCGCAAAAUGUCGAUCGCGCAACAUUUUGCACUGAAUGGAAAUCCGCCUUCAUGGUGCGCAAGCGCUUAUAAAUUUUGGUACAACUGGCCUGAAACUUAAAAUAUUGAUUCUAUAAGUUUAAAGGUGCCCUACAGUCCGUAUGUAAACAAAGUCUUUGUUUACAUUUUUGCGUCCAAAUUAUUGAGCUUUAUUCGACAACUAUUUAUAUUUUCAAGCUUCUAGAGUACAAUAAAUGAUCAAGAAACAACAAUCAGGCUUUGCAAGAACCCAAAACAUAGUUAAACUGUUUGUAUCAUAAAAUGUGGGCUCCUUUGUGCACGUGCGCAGAUCGGACUGUAGGGCACCUUUAAUAUCAAUAUAUUUAUUUGAAAAAUAGCUAUUAUGUCAAAAUAACAGUUUUCAAACUUUUCGCGACUGUUCAUCUGUAGUUGCAAGGGACGGUAAUAACAAGGUCAACAGGUCAAGGUUCAUCACUGAUUGACUAUUCGAAGUAAAUAAUGUUUAUAUUUUCUACAAAUUUAGCUUUAUUAUGGCUUAAUGAAAGUAUCUGAAAACUCGUGGGAACCGUGAAUUACUAUAAUAGAUUGAAAAUAAUUAUUAAACUAUGAUCUCGACUAUGAUUGAAAUUAUCGAAGUAGAAUGCUAUUUCGUUGUAUUAAAUUUCAGUAGACAAUAGUUCAUAUUUAUAUUUACAGAAUGUAAUGUAAUUUUGAAAUUUGAAGUUUUACACACAAUAUAAUCAAUGCUAGCACAAUGGCAUCGUUUCAAUUUGAGCAUAUAAUUAAAAAAUUAAAAUUUUGAUAGCGUGGCCUUUCACAAACAUUAAACGCCUGAUAAUUGAUAAAUAAAUAUCAGUGCGAGCACAACGUACG
rnacentral:tRNA from 1 species